UAACCUGCCUCUUAGCGGGGAUAACUAUUGGAAACGAUAGCUAAUACCGCAUAAAAGUCGAUAUCGCAUGAUGUUGACUUGAAAGGUGCAAUUGCAUCACUAAGAGAUGGACCUGCGUUGUAUUAGCUAGUUGGUGAGGUAACGGCUCACCAAGGCGACGAUACAUAGCCGACCUGAGAGGGUGAUCGGCCACACUGGGACUGAGACACGGCCCAG
rnacentral:rRNA from 1 species